rnacentral:rRNA from 1 species
CGAACGCUGGCGGCGUGCUUAAUACAUGCAAGUCGUACGAGAAAGCCCGACUUCGGUCGGGCCGGUAAAGUGGCGAACGGGUGAGUAACACGUGGAUAACCUACCCUUAAAUCUGGGAUAAUUCUCCGAAAGGGGUUCUAAUACCGGAUAAGACCACAGGACGGCAUCGUCCGGGGGUCAAAGGCGGGGUAACCUGUCGUUUAGGGAUGGAUCCGCGCUCCAUUAGCUUGUUGGUGAGGUAACGGCCCACCAAGGCUGCGAUGGAUAGCCGGCCUGAGAGGGUGAUCGGCCACACUGGGACUGAGAUACGGCCCAGACUCCUACGGGAGGCAGCAGUAGGGAAUAUUGCGCAAUGGACGCAAGUCUGACGCAGCAACGCCGCGUGGGUGAUGAAGCAUCUUGGUGUGUAAAACCCUGUCAGUGGGGAAGAAACGUAUGGAGAGUAACUGCUCUAUGCCUGACGGUACCCACAGAGGAAGUCCCGGCUAACUCC